rnacentral:rRNA from 1 species
CCUGAGAAACCCAAAAGAUCGAAUGGGGAGAUUCAUCGUCAGCUCGUUUUGUAUAUAUGUAAGUUAUGAUGUGGGUUACUACUUGUAGUAUUGCCUACACGUGCUUGUAUAUUUAGUUGCAAAAUGUUGUCGGCGUGCACUUCUCCCCUAGUAGAACGUCGCGACCCGUUGGGUGUUGGUCUACGGGCCAAUUGGAUGCCUUUAAUGUUUAAUUACAUUAAAGACCAUUGGUUUUACCUGACCAGCUGCCCGGCGGUACUCGUACGGUAUUAAGCCGCAAUUUUAAUAUUGUUGCGUCCAAUCCGUCGCAAGCGAGGCCAGUUUACGGUAGUACGGGCUUAGUACCGUCGCUGUGUCUGACCAGCUGUUGGUUGUUACGGUAUUCUAGGACUGGCUAAAAUUUAAUUACCGGUCGGCGAUGCUACUGCUUUGGGUACUUUCAGGACCCGUCUUGAAACACGGACCAAGGAGUCUAACAUGUACGCAAGUCAUUGGGAUUAUUUUUAAAAAAACCUAAAGGCGUAAUGAAAGUAAAGGUCGUCCUUGUGUCGACUGAGGGAGGAUGGGCUGUAUUAAGAUAUAGCCUCGCACUCCCGGGGCGUCUCAUUCUCAUUGUGAGAAGAGGCGCACCCAG